GAUGAACGCUGGCGGCGUGCCUAAUACAUGUAAGUCGAGCGAAUGGAUUAAGAGCUUGCUCUUAUGAAGUUAGCGGCGGACGGGUGAGUAACACGUGGGUAACCUGCCCAUAAGACUGGGAUAACUCCGGAAAACCGGGGCUAAUACCGGAUAACAUUUUGAACCGCAUGGUUCGAAAUUGAAAGGCGGCUUCGGCUGUCACUUAUGGAUGGACACGCGUCGCAUUAGCUAGUUGGUGAGGUAACGGCUCACCAAGGCAACGAUGCGUAGCCGACCUGAGAGGGUGAUCGGCCACACUGGGACUGAGACACGGCCCAGACUCCUACGGGAGGCAGCAGUAGGGAAUCUUCCGCAAUGGACGAAAGUCUGACGGAGCAACGCCGCGUGAGUGAUGAAGGCUUUCGGGUCGUAAAACUCUGUUGUUAGGGAAGAACAAGUGCUAGUUGAAUAAGCUGGCACCUUGACGGUACCUAACCAGAAAGCCACGGCUAACUACGUGCCAGCAGCCGCCGUAA
rnacentral:rRNA from 1 species